rfam:Salmo salar isolate Sally breed double haploid chromosome ssa18, whole genome shotgun sequence.
UAGCUCAGUUGGUAGAGCAUGGUGUUUGCAACGCCAGGGUUGUUGGUUCGAUUCCCAC